rnacentral:SRP_RNA from 1 species
GCCGGGCGUGGUGGCGGGCGUCUGUAAUCCCAGCUACUCCGGAGGCUGAGGCGGGAGAAUCGCUUGAACCCGGGAGGCGGAGGUUGCAGUGAGCCGAGAUCGCGCCACUGCACUCCAGCCUGGGUGACAGAGCGAGACUCCAUCUCAA